AUUGAACGCUGGCGGCAGGCCUAACACAUGCAAGUCGAACGGUAACAGGAAACAGCUUGCUGUUUCGCUGACGAGUGGCGGACGGGUGAGUAAUGUCUGGGAAACUGCCUGAUGGAGGGGGAUAACUACUGGAAACGGUAGCUAAUACCGCAUAACGUCGCAAGACCAAAGAGGGGGACCCUCGGGCCUCUUGCCAUCGGAUGUGCCCAGAUGGGAUUAGCUUGUUGGUGGGGUAACGGCUCACCAAGGCGACGAUCCCUAGCUGGUCUGAGAGGAUGACCAGCAACACUGGAACUGAGACACGGUCCAGACUCCUACGGGAGGCAGCAGUGGGGAAUAUUGCACAAAGGGCGCAAGCCUGAUGCAGCCAUGCCGCGUGUAUGAAGAAGGCCUUCGGGUUGUAAAGUACUUUCAGCGGGGAGGAAGGGAGUAAAGUUAAUACCUUUGCUCAUUGACGUUACCCGCAGAAGAAGCACCGGCUAACUCCGUG
rnacentral:rRNA from 1 species